CCUACGGGCGGCAGCAGGCGCGAAAACUUUACAAUGCAGGAAACUGUGAUAAGGGAACCCCGAGUGCCCGUAUACGCGGGCUGUCCGGGUGUAUAAAAAGCAUCUGAAGAAAGGGCCGGGCAAGACCGGUGCCAGCCGCCGCGGUAAUACCGGCGGCUCGAGUGGUGACCACUUUUAUUGGGCUUAAAGCGUUCGUAGCUGGACUCUUAAGUCUCUUGGGAAAUCCCGCGGCUCAACCGUGGGGCGUUUAAGAGAUACUGGGAGUCUAGGAACCGGGAGAGGUAAGAGGUACUUCGGGGGUAGAAGUGAAAUUCUGUAAUCCUCGAGGGACCACCGAUGGCGAAGGCAUCUUACCAGAACGGCUUCGACAGUGAGGAACGAAAGCUGGGGGAGCGAACGGGAUUAGAUACCCCCGUAGUC
rnacentral:rRNA from 1 species